AGUACGCCCGCAAGGUUGAAACUCAAAGGAAUUGACGGGACCCGCACAAGCGGUGGAUGAUGUGGUUUAAUUCGAUGCAACGCGAAAAACCUUACCUACCCUUGACAUGUCAGGAAGUUACCAGAGAUGGUUUCGUGCUCGAAAGAGAGCCUGAACACAGGUGCUGCAUGGCCGUCGUCAGCUCGUGUCGUGAGAUGUUGGGUUAAGUCCCGCAACGAGCGCAACCCUUGUCAUUAGUCGCUACGAAAGGGCACUCUAAUGAGACUGCCGGUGACAAACCGGAGGAAGGUGGGGAUGACGUCAGGUCAUCAUGGCCCUUAUGGGUAGGGCUACACACGUCAUACAAUGGCCGGUACAGAGGGCUGCCAACCCGCGAGGGGGAGCUAAUCCCAGAAAACCGGUCGUAGUCCGGAUCGCAGUCUGCAACUCGACUGCGUGAAGUCGGAAUCGCUAGUAAUCGCGGAUCAGCUUGCCGCGGUGAAUACGUUCCCGGGUCUUGUACACACCGCCCGUCACACCAUGGGAGCGGGUUCUGCCAGAAGUAGUUAGCCUAACCGCAAGGAGGGCGAUUACCACGGCAGGGUUCGUGACUGGGGUG
rnacentral:rRNA from 1 species